rnacentral:rRNA from 1 species
GAUGAACGCUGGCGGCGUGCCUAAUACAUGCAAGUCGAACGAACAGACGAGGAGCUUGCUCCUCUGACGUUAGCGGCGGACGGGUGAGUAACACGUGGAUAACCUACCUAUAAGACUGGGAUAACUUCGGGAAACCGGAGCUAAUACCGGAUAAUAUAUUGAACCGCAUGGUUCAAUAGUGAAAGACGGUUUUGCUGUCACUUAUAGAUGGAUCCGCGCCGCAUUAGCUAGUUGGUAAGGUAACGGCCUACCAAGGCAACGAUGCGUAGCCGACCUGAGAGGGUGAUCGGCCACACUGGAACUGAGACACGGUCCAGACUCCUACGGGAGGCAGCAGUAGGGAAUCUUCCGCAAUGGGCGAAAGCCUGACGGAGCAACGCCGCGUGAGUGAUGAAGGUCUUCGGAUCGUAAAACUCUGUUAUUAGGGAAGAACAAAUGUGUAAGUAACUAUGCACGUCUUGACGGUACCUAAUCAGAAAGCCACGGCUAACUACGUG